CGGCUCUAUUCAGUAUGCAGUACUGCCACCAGUGGGUCAGUGUGAGUGCCGUCGUCAUGUUCAAGGCCCUGCUUGUGACAAAUGUAAAGCGCUGUACUGGAACCUCUCCCCCGACUCUCUGGAUGGAUGCUCCAACUGUGAGUGUAACGUUGCAGGGACU